GUCUUGGUGGUGUAGUGGUGAGCAUAGCUGUCUUCCAAACAGUUGACCUGGGUUCGAUUCCCAGCUGAAACA
rnacentral:tRNA from 1 species